UACGUAGGGACCAAGCGUUGUUCGGAUUUACUGGGCGUAAAGGGCGCGUAGGCGGCAAUUCAAGUCAUCUGUGAAAUCUCCGGGCUUAACCCGGAACGGUCAGAUGAUACUGCUUUGCUAGAGUGCAGAAGGGGCAAUCGGAAUUCUUGGUGUAGCGGUGAAAUGCGUAGAUAUCAAGAGGAACACCUGAGGUGAAGACGGGUUGCUGGGCUGACACGUGACGCUGAUAGCGCGAACGCCAGGGGAGCAAACGGG
rnacentral:rRNA from 1 species